AGAGCAGGCAGCAUCUCACAGUAAGCUCUAUCUGUAAGUCCAGAAGCUGUGCUGACCAACAUCCUCUCCUGCCUUCGAGCAUUUUCCCUAGACGUGAUUUCACUGUUUCUUCCGGCUGCUCCUGCAAACUGGAACUCAUCUGGGCUGUGGUGACUUAUGAAUUGCCUGGAGAGAAGAUGAUGCUUUUCCGUGCACUUCCACCAGCUGCAAAGCACAGUGCUUGUCUUACAGAAUCAAUUGUAUUAGCAAAAUGUGAGUUUGUGGGAUCAUUUUCUUAAUGCAAAGGGAAGAAAACAGAGAUAUUGCUGGAAAUAAACAAUCUAAAAAACAAAUCAGAAGAAACCGUCACUGCUUCAGAUCACAAUACUGCUAUGGACAGAUCUAAGCUGAAUAUAUCUCUGGUUUUCUUUUAAAAUAAAGUCAUAGAUCUUAACCUCCAUAUUCAGGUUUUUCAUCUGACUCUGCUCUGUUCUCUCAAGGUUAUCAGUGGGUGUAUACCCUAGCAACAACUGUGUACAUCAGCCAACAUGAACAAUAAGGGAAAUAAAAUUCCAAGGUAAAAGCCUGAGAAAUUUAUUACUGGUGUACUUGCACACACCCUCCCACCAGCACCAAGGCUGUUUCCAAGAGGAGUGAGCCUCUUCCAGUUAAAAUUGCACUUUAGAGCAAGACUUUGGUGUUUGUAAAAUCUGAAGGAAAAUCUAAAAAUCUAAAAUUUAGUGUUUUCCUUCCGUGGAGGUCAGAAGAAUUAUUUAUGAUUAUAACACCCUUGGCCAAGCCGGGUGAAUACCUAAGUAUUCCACACAUAUUUACCUCUAUUUUUAAAGGAAGUUAAUUUACCUGUUUCUAAUCUUUUGUUUGCUUUCUAUGAACAGUCUAAUGAAUCAACUUUACCUCAAAAUACUCAUUUUUAAUUUGAAGGGCAUGUUUCACUGGCAAACUAACCACACUGCCACCUGCAUUAGUGUUGAUCACGGGGAAGACUCACUAUGUAUGAAUGUUGUUGCAAGAGUUGCUGAGAACAAAGAUGCACCUGAAGACUCAAGCUCAGACGCCCCAGCAAUGCAAAAGCCUUCAUACCUCUAAAUGUAACUGGUUCCUCAGUGUCAUGCAGAUGCAAUUUAACUGCAAUUAAUGAGUAUCUCAGUAGUUACAUAGAAAUAGCACAGGAACACCAAUUGAAGUGUGCAUUGAGAAUACACCCAAUGGGAAAUUCAAAGAUCAUAACGCUAUAUAUUAAUUGGAAGGAAAAAUGUGAAUGUUCAACUACAGAAGCAAGAAAAUUGGACGUUCUCCAGGGAGCUCAUGAUCCAUGAAUUUCAUGAGAUGAAACAGAUGGAUGAAGCAGAC